rnacentral:rRNA from 1 species
GGGGCACUUAAUGCGUUAGCUACGGCGCGGAAAACGUGGAAUGUUCCCCACACCUAGUGCCCAACGUUUACGGCAUGGACUACCAGGGUAUCUAAUCCUGUUCGCUCCCCAUGCUUUCGCUUCUCAGCGUCAGUUACAGCCCAGAGACCUGCCUUCGCCAUCGGUGUUCCUCCUGAUAUCUGCGCAUUCCACCGCUACACCAGGAAUUCCAGUCUCCCCUACUGCACUCUAGUCUGCCCGUACCCACUGCAAUACACGGAGUUAAGCCCCGGCCUUUCACAGCAGACGCGACAAACCGCCUACAAGCUCUUUACGCCCAAUAAUUCCGGACAACGCUCGCGCCCUACGUAUUACCGCGGCUGCUGGCACGUAGUUAGCCGGCGCUUUCUCUGCAGGUACCGUCAAUCUCUCUUCUUCCCUGCUAACAGAGGUUUACAACCCGAAGGCCGUCAUCCCUCACGCGGCGUCGCUGCAUCAGGCUUGCGCCCAUUGUGCAAUAUUCCCCACUGCUGCCUCCCGUAGGAGUCUGGACCGUGUCUCAGUUCCAGUGUGGCUGAUCAUCCUCUCAGACCAGCUACGGAUCGUCGCCUUGGUGGGCCUUUACCCCGCCAACUAGCUAAUCCGACAUCGGCUCAUUCAAUCGCGCAAGGUCCGAAGAUCCCCUGCUUUCACCCGUAGGUCGUAUGCGGUAUUAGCGUAAGUUUCCCUACGUUAUCCCCCACGAAAAAGUAGAUUCCGAUGUAUUCCUCACCCGUCCGCCACUCGCCACCCAGAGAGCAAGCUCUCCUGUGCUGCCGUUCGACUUGCAUGUGUUAGGCCUACCGCCAGCGUUCACUCUGAGCCAGGAUCAAACUCUG